rnacentral:rRNA from 1 species
AACGAACGCUGGCGGCAUGCCUAAUACAUGCAAGUCGAACGAGAUCUUCGGAUCUAGUGGCGCACGGGUGCGUAACGCGUGGGAAUCUGCCCUUGGGUUCGGAAUAACUUCUGGAAACGGAAGCUAAUACCGGAUGAUGACGUAAGUCCAAAGAUUUAUCGCCCAAGGAUGAGCCCGCGUAGGAUUAGCUAGUUGGUGAGGUAAAGGCUCACCAAGGCGACGAUCCUUAGCUGGUCUGAGAGGAUGAUCAGCCACACUGGGACUGAGACACGGCCCAGACUCCUACGGGAGUCAGCAGUAGGGAAUAUUGGACAAUGGGGGAAGCCCUGAUCCAGCAACGCCGCGUGAGUGAUGAAGGCCUUAGGGUUGUAAAGCUCUUUUACCCGGGAUGAUAAUGACAGUACCGGGAGAAUAAGCUCCGGCUAACUCCGUGCCAGCCGCCGCCGUAAUAC